AUAUGCCUUUUGGUGGGGGACAACAGUUGGAAACGACUGCUAAUACCGCAUGAUGUCUACGGACCAAAGUGGGGGACCUUCGGGCCUCACGCCAAGAGAUUAGCCCAAGUGGGAUUAGCUAGUUGGUAAGGUAAUGGCUUACCAAGGCGACGAUCCCUAGCUGGUUUGAGAGGAUGAUCAGCCACACUGGGACUGAGACACGGCCCAGACUCCUACGGGAGGCAGCAGUGGGGAAUAUUGCACAAUGGGCGCAAGCCUGAUGCAGCCAUGCCGCGUGUGUGAAGAAGGCCUUCGGGUUGUAAAGCACUUUCAGUAAGGAGGAAAGGUUAAGUUUUAAUAGAGCUUAGCUGUGACGUUACUUACAGAAGAAGCACCGGCUAACUCCGUGCCAGCAGCCGCGGUAAUACGGAGGGUGCGAGCGUUAAUCGGAAUUACUGGGCGUAAAGCGUACGCAGGCGGUUUGUUAAGCGAGAUGUGAAAGCCCCGGGCUCAACCUGGGAACUGCAUUUCGAACUGGCAAACUAGAGUGUGAUAGAGGGUGGUAGAAUUUCAGGUGUAGCGGUGAAAUGCGUAGAGAUCUGAAGGAAUACCGAUGGCGAAGGCAGCCACCUGGGUCAACACUGACGCUCAUGUACGAAAGCGUGGGGAGCAAACAG
rnacentral:rRNA from 1 species